UCACGUCGUUGGGCGACCGCGUCAGGUGCAAAUCUGCCGAGGAAAGUCCGGGCUCCACGGAACGCGGUGCCGGGUAACGCCCGGCGGUUCGGGGAAACCCGGAUCAGGGACAGUGCCACAGAGAAGAGACCGCCGAUGGCUCUGGCAACAGAGGACAGGCAAGGGUGAAACGGUGCGGCAAGAGCGCACCGCGCGAUGGGCAACCAAAGCGGCACGGCAAACCCCACCGGGAGCAAGACCGAAUAGGGAUGGCGCGCAUGCUUCGGCAUGCAGGGCAGGAACCGGCCCAGUCAUCCGGGUUGGUUGCUGGAGGCGGCGGGUAACCGCCGUCCGAGAGGAAUGGUCGCCCAGGGGUGCAAACCCUGGACAGAACCCGGCUUACAGGCGGCGUGAUCGC
rnacentral:RNase_P_RNA from 1 species